rnacentral:rRNA from 1 species
UACUACCGAAGCUACGGCAUCAGUAAUGAUGGGUAGGGGAGCUUCCCAUACGGGUUGAAGCAUGACCGUAAGGACAUGUGGACAGUAUGGGAGUGAGAAUGUUGGCAUGAGUAGCGAGAUGUGGGUGAGAAUCCCACAGGCCGUAAACCCAAGGUUUCCAGGGGAAGGUUCGUCCACCCUGGGUUAGUCGGGACCUAAGCUGAGGCCGAAAGGCGUAGGUGAUGGACAACAGGUUGAUAUUCCUGUACUACCGAUAACCGUUUGAGAGAAGGGAUGACACAGUAGGAUAAGCUAAGCACACUGUUGGUUAUGUGUGCCCAAGCAUUGAGGCAGUCAAAGUAGGCAAAUCCGCUUUGAUAAUGCUGGGAUGUGAUGGGGAGCGAAAUUUAGUAGCGAAGUAGCUGAUUUCACACUGUCAAGAAAAGUCUCUAUCGAGGUUAAAGGUACCCGUACCGCAAACCGACACAGGUGGGUGAGGAGAGUAUCCUAAGGCCA